UGCUAAAUGUUCUAAAUUGACGGACCUAUCUGGUGCCGGGGUCACCACCCCAGCAGGUGCUGCCGCGCCGGGAGACGAGCGAGUGGAGGCAUACACGGUCAUGAAUUUGGUGAGGAGCGGAGCUGGCUGGCUGCGGACGAGGAAGUAGGGCAAUACAUACUUGUGCACAUACACGUAUACGAGAAUGCAUAUCUAUUCACACCUGUAACCCAUGUCUUAGACUUUUUCACACAGCUAUAUAUAUAUAUUUUUUUCCAAUUCUCUAUUUAUGGUUUCAUAAUGACUGAGUCACCGUUGAGUGAGUGAGUUUCAGCUCUAAUGCUGCUACUGUCUGUAAUAUGUUUCUAUUUAGAUUAUUUGACAGGAUAUUUUUUUGUUAUUAUUGUCCGAGUCUGGUUUUAACUAAUGCUGGGCUUACACCAAAAGAUUUUCACAGUCACAGACUAAAAACUGAAAGGGGAGCAUAAGGGUUCUUCCCCUUAGUCUCGUCCCACCCCUUGUCAUGACAUAACUUCUGUUGUGAUUUGACACUAUAAUGAAUAAAGAUUGAUUGAUUGAUUGC